CUUUCAAACGCAAACACUUGGCAUUUAAAUAUAAGGUGUUCAACAUCUGCAAUGCUACCAUUCUGGCAGUGAGGACAUGUACCAUCGGCUAUAAUCGAAAAUCUGGCUAAGUGCGCUGGUGCACAGUUGUGACCAAACCUCAAUCUAUUGAUUGUGGUAAUAAAGCUACGACUUCCUAUCUUUAUCUUCUCAUACCAAGGCUUUCCAGGGCUUCAAAUACAGCAUACGCUUCAGCCGUAAAUAUGGAACAUAAAUCGUGCAACCUAAAGCUCUGUACAAAUUUAGUUUGAGGAUCAUACACGGCACUUCGGACAUGAGACUCCGCUUUACUACCAUCUGUGUAUAACUUAUAGUAAUUGGGAAUUUGUGACAAGAAAUGUAGAAAGUCAGUAUUAUUAUUGAUAGAUUUUGUGCAUACUGUAAUGUUUAAAAGUUUACUAUUAAAGCUAUCUUCAUAACAUGGCCAAA